CAGUUGGGUUGCACGCAUCCUUGUUUUUAAGCAGAAGAUACCAAAUUGGAUUGAACUGUCUUUAUUCACUCAGGGUCCAAUGAAACAAGUGUGCAAGUGCUCUGUAGACCACAGGACAAUGAAGCUCUGGGCCACUCCUCCUCCUCCUCUUCCCCACACUGUGGGCUCUGAGCCACGACGGUUGGGACAUUUCCUGUCUGCUUUUUACAGCUUCCCUGUGUCCUGUAGCCGUCACUUUUGCUUGCAGGAGCACCUUGCCUUCAUUCUGUUUUGCUCUCUCUGUUGGCUUGUGAAAUCGGAUAACAACGCCUGUCAACGGGUCCCUGAGGAUUGAUUAGUACUCGUUGACCUAGUAUGGCAUCUGCGGUGCACUUCCUAGUGGAGGAUUUGUGUCUCUCCUUAACCUGGAACAUCCUCACCUGAAUUUGCCACCAAUCUCAUUCUCAACCAUCUAUGAGGGCUGCCAUAACAAAGUACCACAAACUGGGUGACUUAGAACAACGAAAUCUCUUCUCUCACCAUUCUGGAGGCCAGAAGUCCAAGGUAUACUCCUCAUAAGCCCCUUCAACUCCUCUUUUUGGAAGCAGGUACAAGAUGAGCAGUAAAUGAUAAAGCCAAUAAAAAGGUUCUAACUAUCACAUCUGUAUCUUUUCUUGGACGAAGGAGGAAGGACCUAAGCUUGGGUUAACUCCUGAAUUGACCUCCAAAGUGUGAGAUAAAUAAUGUCUGACUUUGUAACCAUGGAGCCUUUGGGCAGCUGCUGAGCUGCUGAAGGUGUCACAGAGUGCAAAAGGACUGAGGACUAUACAUGGUGAUUGCUUCCACUUUGCAGGGUAGCUAAUAUCCAGUAUUCAGCCAAUAGGCAUUACUUAAAAUGUAGCAUUAUAUAUGUGGUAAUUGAUGGGAAUGAAUAAAUGUAAAUUUAUAUGUUAUUUACUUACAUUGAUAUUUGAUUUAUU